CACCACUCGAGUCUGACUCGGUAUUGGGCACCGCGAUUCGGUUCGCGCGCCUCAAAGUUCCCGGCUGGGCGACCCGUCUCCGAGCGUUGUGGCAUCUCAGUCUCGCUAGGGAGUCGCGGGUGGCGUCGGCCGUUAAACACCCCAUCAAA
rnacentral:misc_RNA from 1 species